UACGUGGGGGGGAAGCGUUGUUCGGAAUUACUGGGCGUAAAGGGCUCGUAGGCGGCCAACUAAGUCGGAUGUGAAAUCCCCAAGCUUAACUUGGGAACUGCAUCCGAUACUGGAUGGCUUGAAUCCGGGAGAGGGAUGCAGAAUUCCAGGUGUAGCGGUGAAAUGCGUAGAUAUCUGGAGGAAUACCGGUGGCGAAGGCGGCAUCCUGGACCGGCAUUGACGCUGAGGAGCGAAAGCUAGGGGAGCAAACGGG
rnacentral:rRNA from 1 species